rnacentral:misc_RNA from 1 species
GAUGAAGAACGUAGCGAAAUGCGAUAAGUAAUGUGAAUUGCAGAAUUCAGUGAAUCAUCGAAUCUUUGAACGCACAUUGCGCCCUCUGGUAUUCCGGGGGGCAUGCCUGUUCGAGCGUCAUUAUAACCACUCAAGCUCUCGCUUGGUAUUGGAGUUCGCGAUCUCGCGGCUCCUAAAAUCAGUGGCGGUGCCUGUCGGCUCUACGCGUAGUAAUACUCCUCGCGAUUGAGUCCGGUAGGUUUACUUGCCAGCAACCCCCAAUUUUUACAGGUUGACCUCGGAUCAGGUAGGGAUACCCGCUGAUCUUAAGCAUAUCAAUAAGCGGAGGA